rnacentral:lncRNA from 1 species
AAAAUGUUAAUGAUUAAAUCAACAUACGAGAGGCAACUAGAAGAAAUUAAACGACAUGAUCACUGACGAUCACCAUUCAUGAUCGUUAAUUUUACAUGAUUGUGCAUGGCGCUGCUGGAUUUGCUUCACAGAUGUAAUCUGAACAGUGACCUCUGUAAUAAACUCUGUUAUCGCAGCCACCACCCCAACUCUCAUACACUGGCCUUCCAUAGCACCAAUCAUACUGCCUCUCUCGUCCGUAGCCAAGCUGGUAACACGGUCCCCCACCACGCCCCUCAGAACAGUCCGUGCAACAUGCCCUAACAGGUGAGUAACACGGUCCCCCACCACGCACCUCAUAACAUUCCCUGCAACAUGCCCUAACGAGUGGGUAACACAGAUAGGGCACCGGAGCCGGUGCCGGUGCCUGCGGCGGCGAUGGUUUUGGCUUUGACGUCGGCGGCGGCGUCGUCGUCGUCGGCGGCGUCGUCGUCGACGUCGGCGGCGUCGUCGUCGACGUCGGCGGCGUCGUCGUCGUCGUCGGCUUUGACGGCGGCGGUUCCAGGAUUUCAAUAGUCUUGAUUACACCUUCUCCUUUGCAACAUAGCUUGUCUCUGAUCACUUCAGGACUGCAGCUCACUACUUUUAUUGUCACCGUAUUCGUCUUCUCAUCGAAUGACUGCUCAUGUAUUUCUUUUUGUUUAAAAAGUCCCAACACAAUAUCUUAGUUCACCCAUCCAUCAACCAUUUUUUCCAUUUACAAAUACAAAAUAAGCAAUUCUACUUGCACACGGAAAAAAAAAUACGAAUACGGGAUUUUAUGUCAUUGGGAAACAUUUUACAGCACCCCAAUAUAUUAUAGGGAAAACGACACUUGCACCAUAAAGUUUGUAGAAAUAAUUAUAUAAACCCUCAUAUUUUCAAUAAAGGAUAUCAAAACUCUUUUUUUUAUUAUAAUGCCCUUUAUAAAUAGCAACUAAAAAAAUCACUUAAAAAUUUUUUAAUACAUACAAAUUUAUUUAAGUAGUUUGAUUUAUCUUGUAGACUAAUAAUAUUAGAAUAUUUUUUUAAUAUAUAAAAUUUUUAAAAUGUCAACUAUUAUUUCAUUUUAAUAAUAUAUUUUUAUUUAUUAUAUGAUUUUUUAAAAUAAAUUUUUGGGUUAAAUAGGCUUUAAGUCUUUAACAUUGAUAGAAUAUACCUUAUAUUAAUAAUAUUAAAAUUAUUUUGUAUAACGUUGGAACGAAUUUAAGUAUUUAAAUAUUUAUUUUAAUAUUAUGUUUCUAUUUAGUAUAAGAUAUAAAAAAAAUAUUUUUGAGUUGAUAAAAUCAAAGGACAUUAUAGUUAAAAAAAAAUUGUUAUUUCCUGUUAAAAAUUUGAGAGUUUAUAUAAUUAUUUUCCUAAAUCAUAGGAGUAUAGAUGUUCUUUUUCCUUUAUGAUAUAUGUAAAUGUAUUGGGCUAGCAAUCAGAGAGAUACUUACGUGGGAAUUUGCAAAGUACUUUCUUCACUUUCUUGCGGCACUUUGAGCAGGAAAGGUCAACCUUCAGCACCAUUUUUGUAACCUUCUGUAAACAAUAUUACACAGAUAAUACAAAAGUAUUUUACUGCAGGCUAAUUAACUAAAGACAAAAGGUAAACAUUUAACUAAUUUCUGACAUGAAAGAAUCAGCAAGGUAACCCCAUAUACAUGCACAUACACACUAUAAGCUAUCAUCAUGAGAGAUCGAUCGAUCGAUGCAUGCACAGCACAAAUUUAACCAAAAGGGCAAUUUACAAACCUUCUCCCCCAUAGCUGCUUCUGUCUGAACCUCAGAAAACGAGAAAUGAUUAUCUGAAGAAUUUAUGUGAAAGCACGUAGCGAAAAGGGUCUUAUAAAUAAGCAAGUCAAUUUGAAGUUUAUUAAGGGGGUUUCUUAUUAAGAAGGGAGGAAAACGUGAGAGUUUGAAUUCCGUACAUUAUAUAUAACCAAUUAUCUGCCGACACGUCUUAUUGGAUGACGUCGAAUUUCACGAUAUCAUCAAGGUGGUCGUUAUCUCCGUACACAGUAAGACUUUCUUCACAUUUAUGUAUGAUUGAUGACUCACCCAUUCUCCAUUGCAUUUGCAUGUGCUGCCUUUUGAUUGAUUGUCCUUUCUCUUUUUUUUUUUUUUUUUUUUUUUUUUGCUUUGCUUUUUUUUUUUCUUUUAUGUCUAAAGGAAAAGUUUUUGUCUUUUUCAUUUGAGCAAUAGUCAUAUUUCUUUACCUAAUUGAAAAAUUAUUAACGUAUAGAAUUCGUAUAGCAUUCGGUUUUGUAUAUAGAAGUCGUAUAGAAUUCGGUUUCAUAUUUAAAGCAAUUAGAUUUGUAUAUAUAUUAUGAAUCUGUAAUGCUUUUCUAGUUAGGAUUCUAUUCUUUAGGGUUGUACAUCUAUAUAUAUAUGUAGCAACGUUAAUGCAAGUGAUAACAAGAGUUUUAUUCAUAAACUCCGUUCUUUAUUUUACAUGGUAUCAGAGCUUUGCUCACUUAUCAAAUUAUUAUCUUCGUUCUUUUGCUUUUGUUUAAAUACUCAUGGCAGAUGGUCAAUCAUCAAAACAAGCUGCCAUCCUUAAUAAACAGGAGGAUGACGUCUUCCUUGUCCACCCAUCAGAUAGUCCAACUGCUGUAUUGGUCUCUCCUUUACUCACUAGUGAUAACUAUGGUACAUGGGUAAGGGCAAUGACUAUGGCUUUACGAGCGAAAAACAAGCUCGGUUUUGUUGAUGGAACUAUAUCAAAACCAGAUGAAGAUGAAGAUGAUGGUGGUAGAUGGCAACGUUGUAAUGAUCUUGUUGGAUCUUGGGUGUUGAACUCCAUAUCAAAUGAACUUGCGGGAAGUGUGUUGUAUGCACAGUCUGCUAGAGAAGUAUGGCAGGAUUUGCAAGAACGUUUUCAACAGACCAAUGCGCCAAAAAUCUAUGAACUCAAACAUGCCAUCUCUAAUUUACGACAAGGAGAUGCAUCUGUUUCACUUUAUUAUACUCGCAUGAAAGCGCUUUGGGAUGAGUUGAAUUCUCUACAACAAGUAGGACCAAGUACUUGUGCGAAUGCAAAAACUGUCAGUCAAUUGCAGCAACUAGAUCGAGCUAUGGAGUUUCUUCAAGGAUUACAUGAUAGAUAUGCAGCAACGAGGAGUCAGAUUUUGUUGAUGGAUCCUUUUCCUAAUGCAAAUAAAAUUUAUUCCCUUGUGAGGCAAGAAGAAAAACAACAAGAUAUUCACGCUAUAGGGGGAUCUCCAGAAGCUGCAGCAUUGACAACACAAAGCCGGAAUUCAUUUGGAAAUAGGAAUUGGAAUAACAAUUCUGCAGUAGAUAACAGAGGAGGAAACUUGAAUGCAAAUGGGGGCAGACCAUCGUGUGAACACUGUGGAAAAUUAGGCCACACAAAACAAAAAUGUUUUGAGUUAAAUGGAUAUCCACCAAAUUGGAGAAGACGUGGACAAGGUAAUAAAAAUGAGAUUAAAGCUGCCAUGGCAACAAAUAGCAAUCAAGACGUCCAAGCACCAAUAUUUACUCAAGAGCAAUAUCAAAAACUCCUAGCUAUGUUGUCCUCUUCAGGUAGUGUACAUACUGCGAAUCUUGCAGGUAUAUCACUUAAUUCAUCUUUAUCACAUACUUGGAUCAUAGAUACAGGCGCUACCAAUCAUAUGUGUAGUUCGCUAGAUUUUUUUCACUCCUAUGAACCAUGUCAUGUUCCUCUUCACGUUCAAUUACCAGAUGGUACAGUAGCACAAGUCACUCACAUAGGGAAAGUCUCCUUUUCACCAGAUUUUUUAUUAGACAAAGUAUUUUACAUUCCAAGUUUUAAGUUCAAUUUACUGUCUGUUAGUCAGUUAACCAAAUCAAAUAGAUAUAAGGUAAUUUUUUCUUCCAAUUUUUGUGAGUUUCAGGACCUAUACACGAAGAAGCAGAUUGGCAAGGGUAGACUUCGUGAAGGUCUUUUCUACAUCCAACUUCCAGCUGCAUUUUCUUUCACCUCCCAAAUCACCUCUACACAUGAGAUUGAUCUUUGGCAUUGGAGACUUGGCCACCCUUCUCUUGGAUGUUUAGAGCAUUUUUCAAAAACUUGUCCUAUGGUUAGUUUUAAUAAAGAAUAUGUUUGUGAUAUUUGUCCCAAAGCAAAACAAACUAGAAAGCCAUUUUCCAUUAGUAGCAUCAAAAGUAAAAUACCUUUUGAAUUAAUCCAUUGUGAUGUUUGAGGUCCUUUUUCAACUUCAAGUUUUUCAGGGGCUCAUUAUUUUUUAACCAUUGUUGAUGAUUAUACUCGAUGCACUUGGUUAUAUUUAAUGAAAACUAAAUCCGAAACCCAAUUGCAUUUACGUUCUUUUCAUGCAUUGAUAAAAACUCAAUUUAAUGCUAACAUUAAAAUUGUGCGUUCUGACAAUGGGACUGAAUUUCUAUUAAAGAAUUACAUAAAUUUUUUUUAGACCAAGGGAUUAUUCAUCAAAGAAGUUGCGUUCGAACACCGCAACAGAAUGAUGUGGUUGAGCGUAAACAUCGCCAUCUUCUCGAAGUUGCGCUAGGUAUACGUUUUCAAGCCAAUUUGCCAAUUAAAUUCUGGGGGAGUGUGUUCUUACUGCAGCGUAUUUGAUCAACAAAUUGCCUAGUGAUGUUCUUAAUGGAAAAACCCCACAUGAAAUGCUUUUUGGUAUAGCACCAGAUUUAUCACGCCUAAAAGUUUUUGGUUACUUGUGUUUUGCCAAAAAUUUACAAGUUAAAAAUAAAUUUGAUCAACGGGCAAAAAUGGGAAUUUUUAUUGGUUAUCCUUUUAGUCAAAAAGGAUAUCGAAUUUAUGAUAUUGAAUCUAAGACAAUCUAUGUGUCACGUGAUGUUCUCUUUUAUGAACAUAUUUUUCCUUUUAAGGAUGUUAAAUCACCGGUUUUUUCUACACAUGUCACUAAUGAGUUUUUAUUUGAUGAAAUUUUUUUCGAGUCCAAUAGUUUUUUAUCACCUUCUCCUAAUGAAAACAUAAGUUCAUCACAUGCUCUUCAUGAACGUGACCCACCUUUGCAAGACACAGAUCCAUCCGUGACCAAUUCUUUUUCUCCUAACACCACUCAUGAACACAUCAUCACUGAAACAUCAUCUACCCAACAGCCUAGUUCACCAGCAGAUGCAACCUUAGAUUCAUCACUUUCUUUAGGCAACCAAAAUAUCCAAACUCCCACACGACCCCAACGUGAUAGACGCACCCAGCUUACCUUCACGAUUAUUGUACUCUGGCUUCUCACAAUUCUACCCCUGCUGAUCUUAUUUCUUCGUCUCCAGGUAAGAAAUAUCCUCUUCACAAUUUUAUUUCUUAUCAUCGUUUUUCUCCAGCACAUAAGUCUUUUUUGUCUGCCAUUACCUCUACAACCGAACCAAGUUUUUUUCAUGAGGCAGUCAAGUUACCUGAGUGGCGCAAAGCCAUGGAGGAUGAGAUAACAGCUCUUGAGAAAAAUAAUACGUGGACUCUAACUCAUUUGCCGGAUGGUAAAAAGGCUAUUGGCAGCAGAUGGGUUUACAAAAUUAAAUAUCAAUCUGAUGGCACCAUUAAGCGUUACAAAGCUCGUUUAGUUGCUAAGGGAUAUACUCAAACAGAAGGCAUUGAUUAUCAUGCUACUUUUUCACCGGUUUCUAAGCUUGUCACUGUGAGAGCUUUACUUUCUCUUGCGGCUGUUAAGGGAUGGAUUUUAGAACAAUUAUAUGUAAGCAAUGCUUUUUUACAAGGAGAUUUAGAGGAAGAAGUUUAUAUGCAAGUACCACAAGGUUUUUCUAAGCAGGGGGAGCAUCUAGUCUGCAAACUCAACAAAUCUAUCUACGGAUUAAAACAAGCAUCCAGAAAUUGGUUUUCGAAGUUUUCUGCUACCAUUCAACAAGCUGGUUUUCGCCAAUCUAAAGCUGACUAUUCAUUAUUUGUAAAAACUAAUACCAAAUUUUCAACCUUUGUGUUAGUUUACGUUGAUGAUAUUAUCGUAGCAGGGAAUGAUGCUGCCGAGGUUAGCAGAAUUAAAGAUUUCCUUGCACAUAAAUUUUACAUCAAGGCAUUAGGGAAGUUGAAGUAUUUUUUGGGGAUAGAAGUGGCACGGUCAUCACGUGGGACUUUCUUGAGUCAGCGAAAAUAUGCCCUGGAUAUUUUAAAAGAUGCUGGUUUACUUGCUGGACGAGUUUCUCAUUUUCCAAUAGAACAACAACUUCGGCUUUCAUCUACAGAUGGCGACCUUUUAUCAAAUCCCUUAAGUUAUCGACGUCUUGUAGGUCGGUUGAUCUAUCUCACAGUUACCAGGCCUGAUAUUGUCUUUGCAGUACAUGUUUUAAGUCGAUUUAUGCAUGAACUACGAACUACUCACAUGGAUGCUGCCAUUCGAGUGCUUCGGUAUUUAAAAGGCUCACCAGGCAAGGGUAUCUUAUUAUCUUCAAUAAGUGACUUACAUAUCCGGGGUUACUGUGAUGCGGAUUGGGGUAGUUGUCCUACUACACGUCGGUCUGUUACUGGUUAUUGUACUUUCCUUGGUGACAACCCUAUAUCUUGGAAAACAAAGAAGCAAAAUGUGGUCUCUCGAUCUACAGCAGAAGCUGAGUAUCGCUCCUUGGCUGAUCUUUCAUGUGAAUUACAGUGGCUUAAAGCACUUUUUGCUGAUUUGGGGCACCUUCAACAUGAUCCUAUGACUGUUUAUUGUGAUAAUCAAUCAGCUUUAUAUAUCGCCGAGAAUCCUGUCUAUCAUGAGCGAACAAAGCACAUUGAGUUAGAUUGUCAUUUCGUGCGAGAGCGUGUGCAAUCCAAUUUGUUAUUACCACUGCAUAUUCCUACUUCCGUGCAAGUAGCUGAUGUGUUUACAAAACCUCUCGGACAUGCUCUUUUCCAUCAUCAUAUACGCAAGUUGGGCGUUGUUGAUCUCCACGCUCCACCUUGAGGGGGAGUAUUAACGUAUAGAAUUCGUAUAGCAUUCAAUUUUGUAUAUAGAAGUCGUAUAGAAUUCGGUUUCAUAUUUAAAGCAAUUAGAUUUGUAUAUAUAUUAUGAAUCUGUAAUGCUUUUCUAGUUAGGAUUCUAUUCUUUAGGGUUGUACAUCUAUAUAUAUAUGUAGCAACGUUAAUGCAAGUGAUAACAAGAGUUUUAUUCAUAAACUCCGUUCUUUAUUUUACAAAAAUAAAAAUAAAAAUAAAUAAGGGAAAAUGGACUUUAAUUGAACAACUGAUGUGAGAUCUAGGUAUAGAAAUUUACAUUCACCAACUCUUCCUAACCGUCAAAUUUGAUGCAUUUUUUGAACCCAGCACCUUGUGCCAUGGAUCGAGUAUUCAUUCUACAAACACAGGAAUUGAUGAAAUAAUUUAAUCGAGCUAUUGGAAGUUUCACCAACCUAAAGUAAUCAUUGUCCUUAACCCAUAAACAAAGGGCCCAAUGAUCAAUUAAUAUAAGCUUUUGGAAGUUCAAGCAAUCCCCGCAAGUAUACCUCCAACACUAAGGUGGAUAUAAUGGCUUGUGGGACCCGCAUACUUAAUGCCUAAGUUAGGUGUCACACCACUAAUUUAAUUUUAGAUUGGCCACACACACCAAGUAAUUAAAAAAGAUAAUGUUAUUAGUUUACCAGAAGCAGUUGUGACGCCUUGGCACCCACCUCCGCUUGGCCAUUUUAAAUUAAAUGUUGAUGCAGUCAUGGGGGAUGGUGGUGUGGGGGCCGUCAAUGGGUUAUCGGUUGCAAUUGAGGCAGGACUGACAUUGUUCAGAGAUUAUUUAAUUUUUAGCUUCGUGGUUUAUGUUGUCCAUCGCUAUCUCACCAUUGUUAUUUAAGAUUAUUUUCUGAAACAGUAUCUCACCGAUAUUAUUGUUCAAAAAUAAAUUAAAGUAAAAAACAGAUGGCCAAUUUAUCUCUUGUAUCAAUUCUUCUAUUCCUCUUCUUCAUUUAUGGCAAAAAUAACCAUUUUUCUUAAGUGUUUUAUGUAGCAUUUUUGCACUUAAUUUAUGCAAUGCUAUAAAAGAUCAAAUUUGAAUUUUAAAGAAUUAUUAUUAUUAUUAUUAUUAUUAUUAUUAUUAUUAUUUAUCAGGAACUGGGAAGAUAAUUGCGGAGACUCAGGAGAUAGAGCUCUGCAAGACAGCUAUUAUGUCCCAAAAAGAAUUUUGCUUUUGAAGCAUCACUUUCCCAAAAAGAAAUUCCAAAAAUUAUGUCUAAUUAAAAUCUUUUAGAAUCUCCCCAAGGUUUGAUUGCAUGGUUUUUAAACAAUUAUAAGUAGUUUUCAAGAUUGUGACAAUGGGACGAUGUUGAUUUUCAUCCAAGAUUGUGACAAUGCGGAAAUGUAAAAGAUUGAUAAACUAUACAGAACCAAAUUUUUUAAAUAAUGAAAAUAUUAUUAAUAAUUUAAAUAAAUAAAACUAGAGUAUUUCAACAAAUUUGCAAUUUUGCCACUGAAUACAAUGCACAAUAGAGAAUAACAUCAUAAUCAUCCUACGCAAUCAUCCUGUAUCAUUCAUGAUGUCAUUAAUAUUGUCUUUAUGUCCGUACGUUGAAACUUGAAAGUGUUGUUUCUCAUUUAUGUAUGAUUGUUGACUCUAGCUCCAAUCUUCUGUUGCGUUUGCAUGUGCUGCCCUUUAAUUGAUUGCCCUCUUCUCAUUUUCUGGCUUUCCUUUAUUUUUUCUGUUUUGUCUAAAAGCAAAAUGUGUUGUCUUUUUCAUUUGAGCAAUCAUAUUUCUCUACUUUUAUAUUUGCACUACUAUUUCAGCGUAUAAUUACAUAUACUGGGAUUAUAAUUUUACAUAUAUUAAAUUUUAUGAAAAACUUACAUUUGAAGGAUGGAAAGAGAGAGAGAGAUUGCAAUUUAGGAUGACAAUAAAAUUCAAGUUUGUCUGCAUCCGCAAAGAUUAAGAAGAUCUGAAUCUCAAAAAGUAGGGAUCCACAUAUUAAAAAAUACACAUCCAUAUGUAGAAAAUUAAGAUAAACAAGAAAACUGAAUAUUAAAAUCUAGUUGAAUUUUAUUUUAAAUUAAAAAUUAAAUUUUAUUUAUAAAUUUAUGAUGUUGUUAUAUGUUAUUCAUGUUAAAAUUAUUAAUUAUCUGAUUAUGAUUGAAUUUUAUUUGAUAUUAUUAAUAAGUUAUUAAAAUUUUAAAUUUUAAAUUAUAUAUUAAAUUAUCAAAUUUUAAUUUUUAUGAAUCUGAAUCUGGAUUGCAUCCGGAUCCAUAUAUUUAUUAACAAAUCUGGAUAUGAAAAUAUAAAUACAUAUCUGGAUAUAGCUACAUUCGAUUUUAGACUUUGUCAAUCUUAUUACAAUUAACUCGACUCAAAUCACUCUUGGUUGAGAGAUAGUGACUAGGGGGGAUGGUAGCAGGAUUGUUGCUGAUGUGGGCUGCUGUGCGUAAUUCACAAGAGAUAGUGACUAUGCUGACGCAUUAGCAUUUCGAGUUGGGCAGCAAUUGAGCAGUACAGAAGCGACUAGCGUUGAUCAUGGAGUACGUCUGUUUCGGCUUGCGACUCAGAAAGUGCCAAAUCAUAAUGAGGUUUUUUGGAUAAUUUAACAUGUGUUUCGACUUGUGACUCAGAAAGUGCCAGAUCAUAAGGAGAUUUUUAUUUUUUCGACAUUGUAAUUUGACUUUUGGCUUUUUGGAUAAUUUAACAUGUGUUUCGACUUGUGACUCAGAAAGUGCCAGAUCAUAAGGAGAUUUUUAUUUUUUCUGACAUUGUAAUUUGACUUUUGGUCUUGAUGAAUAUGCUUCCUAUUUCGAAAAAAAUAAAAAUAAACCUAAAAAUUGCAAGGCUUUGAGCAAAAUAAGGUUUCAAAACCUUUUAAACUAAUUUCAUCACUAACCACAUAUUAUUUCACUGUCGUUCCAAGUUUUUGUGCUAGCUUAUCGUCUACAUAUUUAGACUAAUUCUGAAACACUAUCUCACAAACAUCAUUGUGCAAAAAUAAAGAAAGGAAAGGAAAGAAAAAAAAAAAAAAAACAAAUGGCCAGCUCCUAUCUUGCAUCGAUUCUUCCGGUCUUCUUCAUCUUCGGUGGUGGUAGAUUACCAUGUUUUUAAGUCUAUUUACCACUUUUGCGAGAAUAAUACUACAUGUACAAACGAAUGUGACGAAAAAGCAAUUUUGAUUGCAAUAAUACCAUAAACUUUACUUGCAAUUUUGAUUUAGAUCAUUCAUCACUUUUCAUAAAAGCUUGCACGAAUAUUGUUUAUAAAAUUGAUUGCGUUCUUGUCCUUUGGGUUUCUUUAAAUUUCUAUGAGUGAGUGAAGUAAAUAAACAUAAGCUCAUAUAAGAUUGUUGUUGGAAUGUUCAAAAGGAUUUUUAGUAUUUAAUAUUAUUUUAAAGAAAGUCAUUAAGGUAAAAUCACUUCAUUUACAAUAAAUUUUAAAAAGCUGAGAAAAAGUAGCUUUGAUAAAAAAUAAAUAAACACAACCACCAAGAAAUUUUGAAUUAUCUAUAUAUGCACCACCUUUUAUUUGUAAAUUGUAUCAACCUGCAUUUAUUUUUUAAUUAAAUCAUUGGUAAAAAGUGAAAUAGUUAUUUUGAUUGUCUAAGCUAAGGUGGUGUUUGUGUUCUAUUUGAAGUUUAAAUAAAUCUGAAUUAAUUUGAAUUCUGAAUAGAUUUAAAUGUCUUAAUAUAUAUAUAUAUAUAUAAUCUCUUAAAGUAAGUAUUAAAUUAUUUGUUUUUUCAACUUAAAAAAUUAGAAACAUUUAUUUUUACAUUUGUAUCCUUAUUAAAGAACAUAACUAAAUAAUAUUUUAACAGAUAUAAGCAAAAUCAUGUUCAAGUGAAUACAUAAUGAUUUUAGAAUUAUAAUAUAUAAAAUACCAUUUUAAAUUUUAUCACAAUUCUCAAUAAUAGUACAUAAUAUAAGAAAAAAACCUAAUAAAAUGCUUAUAUAGUUGAUUCGCUCAUCCAAAGUGAGAAGAGAUUUCAUGACAACUAAAAAAAUAAAGAUGAUAUCGUUAGUGGGGUAAACACGUAUGAGUGGGUUUUGAGAUAGACGAAGUAGGGAUAUUUUUUACAUUAAAAAUUAGUUGACUUUUUUAAAUUCUAUAUUCAGUAAAAAAAAUAAAAAAUUCGUUUAUUUAUUAAGUCAAAAUUAUCUAAAAAGGCUCGUUAAAUUAUAAAAACAAACAUCUCUAAUUAAUUUAAUUAAUUAAGUUAAGUCACUUUAAGUAUUAAGUUAACAUCAGUAUAUCUAAACAACUUGUUUGUUUAAAUCGUCACUUAUAAUUCAUGUAUUUUAAUCAUUAUAAAAUUACAUGCAAAAAAGGAACAAAAAAAUACGAAAUUGAAUAUGAUUGUUGUUGUUACAAGAUGUGAUUCAAGUCUAUUUCAAAAUUUAAUUUGUGUUUCAUCUUCCAUGAAUUUUCCAUCGCUCGCUUCUCUCAAAACCUUAUCUCUAACCUUUCUCCAUCAACGACAGUAAAAGUCUCAUAUAUAUAUAUAUAUAUAUAUAUAUAUAUAUAUAUAUAUAUAUAUAUAUAUAUAUAUAUAUAUAUAUAUAUAUAUAUAUAUAUAGUGAAAAUCUUACUCGCCACAAUCAAGGCCAAAAUCUCUUCAACCAGAGAUUAGAUUCUCACACUUGGCCUUUUUAAUAUUCAAACUCCGUUAACAAACAAUCUCCAACUUAAAAAAAAAAAAAGAGUAAAUGAAAUUGCUUUUUUUUUUUGUUUUUAUUAGAAAAGGAUUAGGUAACAAUUUCAGGGGUAAAAUGGUCCUUCUAGAAAAAAAUCAUUUGUGGUUGCAAAUAUGUUCGAGCGACAAUUUCCCAAUUGGUGAGCUAAAAUUAGUUAGUUUCUCUACCAAUGGUAAGAUAAAUAGAUAAUUUUUUUUCAAAAAAAGUACAACAAUCAUUUUCUAUGCUUAUCAAGUAUCAUCUAUAUUUUAAGAUUAUUUUCUGAAACGCUAUCUCACCGAUAUUACUGUUCAAAAAGAAAUUAAAGUAAAAAAAAAAAAAAACAUAUGGCCAAUUUAUCUCUUGUAUCAACUCUUUUAUUCCUCUUCUUCACUGACGGUAAAAAUAACCAUUUUUUACUAGUGUUCUAUGUAGUACUUUUUUGACUUAAUUUAUGCAAUGCUAUAUAAGAUCAAGUUUGAAUAUUAAAGAACUACUAUUACAUUAUUAUUAUUAUUAUUAUUAUUAUUAUUAUGAUGAUGAUGAUGAGGACGACUUAACCGAUCAGGAACAACGAAGAUGAUUGCCGAGGACGAGGAGAUAAGCUUUGCAAGCAAAUGCCUUCUUGCACUAAAGAUGACUGCAAAAAAAUAAUUUGCAGCCGUUUUAGGGAGAUAUGUCAAUUGAUAUCUUUUAGAACCACCCUAGGGUUUUGUCGAGUGGUUUUCAAAUAGUUAUAUUUGAUUGGUCAACUAAGCUUGUAUAAUGAGGAAGUAUUGAGUUAAAAACUUAAUUUGGACUUUGUUACUUCUUUGUCUUUAAGAGAAAACAUAUUCUGUAGAGUUUUAAAGAAAUAAUUAAAAAAGAAUAACAUAAGGUAAUAAUUAAGAAAAGGAAAAUAAGAAAGCAGACUUAAAAAGUAUUUCUAAUGUAGUACUAUUUAUUUCAAUUUUUUAUAAAAAAAAAAAACUCAAGGUGAAAGAUUUUAAUGGCUAGGGGUUAGAGAUGACAAUUUUUUCUGUUCGGAUGGGAUCCUACGAGAUCCCGUUUUGUUUGGGAUAGGAUUGUAACAUAUUUUUACAUCUCAAACUAAAGUGAGAUGAGAUAAGGAUAAAAAAUAAGUUUUGCUUUUAUUUGUGGGACGUGAGGAAGACCAACUAUAAAAUCUCGUCUCAUCCUAUAUAUCCCAUCAAUAUUAUAAUUUUAAAACUAGUUUAAACAUUUUAAUUAUUUUAUAAUUUUUACUUAAAUAACGUUGAAAGUUGAUAUCUAAAGGCUAAAAUUAAAUAAUUAAAGUAAUAUAAUUAGAAAGUGAAGUGUUAGCCAAAAGCCACAAUUAAAAUUAAUAAUUGAAGUCAAGUUUUGGAAGUUUUUGUUAAUUUUUUAUUUUUGCUUAAACUUUGGAACCUAUAUUGAUUUGGUUUAGUGUUGAAAGUUUGAACUUUUGGUUUUUCUUUAAUUGUUGGUUUAGUUUAUCAUUAUAUUGUUGAAUUAUUGGAUAUAUUAAAAUAGCUGAAGUUGGUUAUUGUCCAAAUCUAUAACUUUGAAGCGUAGGCCUUAAUAUCAACUUGUAGUUGAAGUAAACAGACAAUUGAAAAAUGUUAGUAUAAAAUUGUAUUCGACCAUGCAUUUAUUCAUAAUAAAACUAUUAUGUAAUUAUUCUACUUUAUAUUUAUUCAAGUUUUUUGCAAUAUUGAAUUAUGAUCAUCGUUAAAAUAAAAAAUAUUAAAGUUUAUUUAUUUAUAUUUGGGACUACUUAGGAUAAUGGGAUGAGACAACAUAUUUAAUAGGAUAGGAUAAGGACAAAUUUUUGUCCCAAAAAAAAAUAAUAAUGGGAUGAGAAUGAUAUAUUUUUCUUUUAUUCUAUUUACAUACAUGAGACAGGACUGGAAUUUGGAAAUCCCGUCCCAUUGCCAACUUAUAUUAAAUAUUAAAUGAAAGCAAAUAGUGUGAAAGGAAACAAAAUUACAGAAAAGAUUGAGAGUGGUUAAGAAGACUUAGGGUUUAUUAUGGGAACAACAGAGUAGGAAGAUGAAGUUAAGUUUAAUUUAUCUAAUAAAUAAAUUAUUGUCAUUAUGAAAAUGAGUUUACUUGAUGGUAAAAUAUUGUAUAGAUGUUUUGGUAUUGUAUAAAUUUAGGUGAAUGUAAAGAGUAUUUUUAUGGCAUUCAAAUAACCUACCCAUAUUUUAAUUUAUAAAUUUUCGCUUGUAAUCAAUUUUUUUUAUCUAGAGGCCAAGCUAGAAUUUAAAGGGGGCCAAAAUAAUAGAGGUACAUAUUGUUGGACCAAAAUGAAACAAAUAAAAAAGGUUAAGGAAACGACAGAAAGCUCGGCGUUUUGGCUCUGCAAAGUGACAAAGCAAAACAACAAAGUAAUUUGCGUUUCAUGCUACCUUUAUAUAUCUUCACAAAACGACCUAUGGUUAUAUCGUUUUGGUUAUAAGAAUCACGAGCAACGCACGUGACUUUUUAAUGACGUGUGAAGGCUGUUAAAAGCCGUUAGAGUCAUCUGCUGCUCACAUGCUUUGCUGGGAAUGCUUCUGGGUUGUUAUAAACACAGCAGCUGAAGCUGAUUCUGGAGUAACAAACAGAGGGAGUUUCAGAGGUUUCUGGAGAGAGAGAGCUUGUGUAAAGAGAGGUCUCUUGUUCCUUGAUUAGGGCUCUGUAAAUCUGAAUGUAAACGAGACUUGGUUCAAUCAAUAAAGCUGGUUAAUUUGUUCCUCCAUGGAUGUAGGUCAAUGUUGAAUUGAAUGAACCACGUUACCUGCUGUGUCUGGAUUCAUUCUUGGUUUCUUUUAGUUUUCUUUGAUUGUUUACUGUUAACUCGUGGUGCUGUUGAGUUGUUUCUUAUCAUUGUAAGUUCGGAUCAUCUUUAAUUCAUCUUGUAAUUCUGAUUUGAGGAUCUUGGGAGAGGUUGCUCAAGUUGAUUGUAUAACUUGACAAUCUUUACACAUACACAGGUUCAAAGUCUAAAAAGAGUAAAUUAUUUAGGUAAAAUGUGAAGAUAAAUUAAAGUUUUAGGGCGACCUCUCUCAAUUUCUUCAUUAAGGGAAAUAAUAUUUUCAUAUACAAGGAGGUAACGAGAUAUGAUGUGUUGGACUUUUCUAGUAUUCUAAAAUUUUAUUUCAAAUUUUAUCAUAAAUGAUUUGACAUGUGAUGUGUCAUUUAUAGUCAUUGAUAAUUUUUUAUAUAGAAUGUGUUUGGCACUCAACAUUACACCACAUUUUAACCUUGUAUUGUAUUAAAUUAAUACAAUAUUGUGUUUGGCAAAAAAUGAACUUUGUAUUAGACCACUUUGUAAUACACCAAAUGCCACAAAAAUUAAACCCGUGGGGGGGGGGUGUCAUAAUUAGGUCUCAUUGCAUUAGAAUAGAGAGAAAAUACUUUAUUCUUCACGAUCUCAGCCACAACCACAAAACAAAUCUUCUCUUCACAAAACACAAAAUAAAACUUUUCUCUCAAACUCACUCGCCUUUCACUCACAGAUUUUGUUAAGUUUGAGAAUGAAGUUGAACCUGGAUCAGCUCAUGUGGGUGUGCCAGCUGGAGUUUACUUGAUAACCAAGGGAGAUGCUCACACAAGUAAGGUGAUGCAAUCCACACGUGCAGAGGAAAAAUAUUCCAGUUGGCAGAACAGUUAUACAGAGAUUCCACAGCUAUUAUGUGAUGUAGCAAAUUAGUUAUGAAUGAAUGGCUGUGAUCAAAAUAUAGCUUACACACUUUACUUGAGUUUGUUAAUUUGUAAAUCUAAAUUGCUGAGCUGGAUUUUAAAACUGAACAGCUAUAUAUACCAGCAAUAUUGUACAUUGUUGAUUGAAUAAAAUAGUUACAAUUUAUUACUCAAAUAUGAUCUAAAAAUCUCACAUGGUAUCAGAGCUCUGAGAAACAACAAUGGCGAGUAAUGAAAAUCAAACAAACAGCAAUGGAGCUUCAAGCUCAACUGUAAACACAAAUCAAAUCUCAAAUGUCAGCACCUCUGUUCUCAGCUCAUUUAUCUUCAACACGCCUAUCAAGCUUACUAAUAACAAUUAUCUGCUAUGGUGAUCUCAAGUGAUAGAAACAAUCAAUGCAAAUGAUCUGGAAGAUUUUAUUGAUAACUCAAAUAUUCCACCUAAUCGAGUUACGGUUAAUAUUGACAGCGAUCAAACAGUGAUCACAACUCCAAAUCCACAGUUCCAGAUCUGGAGGAGAAAUUAUCAGCAGCUGAUGAGCUGGUUGCUUUCAACCUUAAGUGAAGAAGUUCUUAGUGCUGUAGUUGGAGCCAUAUCUUCUCUGGAUGUGUGGCAAAUUCUUGCAACUUAGUUUGAAGCCAGAUCCAGAGCUAGAGUUCUGCAUCUGAGGACUCAAAUUCAGACUACCAGGAAAGGAUAAAUUAUUAUUCAUGAGUACUACACUAAGAUGAAAACCACUCUUGAUGCAUUGAGAACUGCUGGAAGUAAUAUGAGUGAUGAAGAUUUUGUGUUGUGCUUGCUUGCUGGCCUUGGAUCUGAAUAUGAUUCAAUUGUUACCACAAUCAAUGCACAACCUGAAGGCACGACUUUUUCUGAUGUGUAUGGAAUGCUGCUGAGUCAUCAUGAAAACAGAAUUGAAUAUCAACACUCUGUCAGUCACAUGGAUUAUCAAGCUAAUUUGGCUUAUCACAGAGGAAAUCAAAUGAGGAACUGGCAGCCAAACUUCAACUUUGGUAGAAAUAAUAACAACUAUGGUGGAAGACCAGCUGGAAGCUCAAAUGGAAAACAACCUGGUGGAAACAAUUUUCAAUCAGGUCAUGAAUCCAUCAGACAAAUUCAAAGGCAAAAAUCCUAUUGAUGAAAAAGAACCUAAGGGACCAUGCCAGAUCUGUUUCAGGAAAAAUCAUACUGUUGCUCACUGCUGGUACAAGUUCAAAAAGAACUAUAUGCAAAAUCAAGUGCCUAAUAGGAGGAGUGCAUACAUAGCUGAGAAUGAAGGACACAGAGAUGGAACUUGGUAUCUUGACAGUGGUGCAACAAAUCACAUUUCAAAUGACUUCAACAAUCUCAACAUCAGUUCUGAAUACAAAUGAAGUGAUCAGCUGGCAGUAGGUAAUUGAGCUAAACUCAAAAUAGUUUCUGUUGGUCACUCACUGCUCAGCACACUUGAUUCACACACAUUAUCUCAUAUCAGACUUAAUCACAUCCUUAAUAUCCCAGAAAUAACCAAAAACUUGAUUAGCAUUUUAAAACUAUUACAUGAUAAUGACGUUUCUAUUGAAUUCCAUAAAACUUGUUGUAUUGUCAAGGACAAGAGAAUGGGGAGUGUUCUUUUGAAAGGAAUGGCUAAAGAUGGAUUGUACAAGCUGCUGAGUUUGCCUCAUGAUUACAGUCAAUUCAAGUCAAUUUUUUUGUCUUCCACUACUACUCCUAGUCUACUUACAGUAAAUAAAAUACUUGGUCCUGAGUCUAUGUUGUCUGUCAGUUGUAAUGAACAUUGUACAAGUAACAAGUUGCUUGAUCUAUGGCAUAUGAGAUUAGGCCACACUAAUGCCAAUGCUCUUAUGAAAACCUUGUAUGUCAUUCAAACACAGUGAAACAAAAACCUCAAAAGCUCUUGAGAUUAUUCACAGUGAUCUUUGGAGCCCUGUACCCACUUAAUCCAAUCAAGGUUUUAGAUACUAUAAAGCUUUCAUUGAUGACAAAACCAAUUACACAUGGAUUUAUGGAUUAACACAUAAGUCAGAAGCACUCACAACAUUCAUUUAUUUCAAAAACCAAGUUGAGAAAAGCCUUGAACUGAAAAUUAAAGCCUUACAGUGUGACAUGGGAUGAGAAUAUAAAGUCUUUGAACCAUACCUAAAGCAUGCAUUUCUUUAAGAUACUCAUGUCCAUACACCCAUCAUCAAAAUGGGAAAGUUGAAAGGAAACACAGACACUUUGUAGAAACUGGAUUGACUCUUCUUACUCAAUCUGGAUUACCUUUGAAAUUUUGGUGGGAAGCCUUCUCUAAUGCCACAUAUCUCAUAAACAGAACUAGCACACCUAUUUUAAAUGACAAGACUCCAUUUAAAUCCUUUUACUCAAAGAAACUAAAUUAUUCUCUCAUCAAAAUAUUUGGCUGAGUGCUAUCAUUUCAUAAGAGAUAUAUGUAAAUCUAAAUUCGACUUUCAUACUUCUACAUGUGUAAAUCUAGGAUUCAGUCAGUUUCACAAAGUUUACAUGUGUCUAAACUCAAAUGGAAGAAUAUACAUAGCAGCACAUGUCAACUUCAAUAAAAGUUCUUUUCCUCUCAAAACAUAUCCAAAAUUUAUAAAUUCAAAACAGAAUCAAUCAUCUGAGUCUUUAAACUCAUUCAACAAAUUCAUCAUAGUGACUUUUCCUUCUGAAAGUCAUAGUCAUGAGGCAACAACAGCAAGGUUAAACUCAUCUGAAAAUGCAAUUCAAGAUUUUACUUUCUCUAAUGAUCAAGACCCUGACAACUAUCAUAACCAAACUCAUCCAGUGCCAAACAAUGUUUCAAAUAUACACUCAGAAAUCCAGGUUACUUCAUAUCAUUCUGGCGCAACUGAAAACACUGAAGUUCAAAACUAAAAUCCUGAAAUGACUCAAACCACUCCUAAAUUCAAUCCCUCACAUUCUAUGAUAACUAAAGCCAAAGCUGGAAUUUUUAAGCCUAAAGUUUACAACACUGAAAAAGCCUUGUCUCUAGAAAUACCAUCAAGUGUUGCUGAAGUUUUAAGUGAUAAUAACUGGAAACUAGCCAUGCAGGAUGAGUUCAAUGCUUUAAUUAAGAAUCAGACCUAGUGUUUGGUUUCUCCAAAGCAACAUAUGAAACUUGUGGGAAAUAAAUGGAUUUUUAGAGUAAAACAAAACUCAGAUGGAACAAUAAAUAGAUACAAAGCCAGGUUAGUAGCAAAGGGCUUCUUGCAAACUGAAGAAGUGGAUUAUCAGGAGACUUCCAGCCCUGUAGUAAAAGCAGCUACUAUAAGAAUUAUUCUAAGCAUGGCUGUGAUAAAUAACUGGAAAUUGAGAUAGGUUGACAUUAAUAAUGCAUUUCUAAAUGGGGAGUUAACUGAAACAGUAUAUAUGCCUCAGCCUGAAGGAUUUGUGGAUGCAGAUCACCCAAGAUAUGUUUGUAAGUUGAAGAAAACUCUCUAUGGUUUGAAACAGGCACCAAGAGCCGGUUUGAUAAAUUAAAGUCAGUUCUUGAAUCAUGGCAGUUCUGUCGAGCAAAAUCAUACACUUCCUUAUUUUUCAAACAAAAUGAAAAUGAUCUAAUCAUCUUGUUAGUUUAUGUUGAUGAUAUCAUAGUCACUGGGAGUAAUAAUGUUGAAAUAGAGCAGCUUAUUUGUAAUCUGGGAAAUGCUUUUGCUCUCAAAGAUUUGGGUUAACUAAACUUCUUCCUUGGCAUUGAAGUUAUAAGAAAUAAAGAUACUUUGGUACUGUCACAGUCUAAAUACUUAAAGGAGUUGCUUACUAAAUUUGAUUUGAAGAACCGUAAUGGCUUAGAUACUCCACUAGCAACUACUGAAAAGUUGAGCAAACAUGUGGGAGAAAAAAUGUGCUGACUCAACUCAAUACAGAAGAGCUAUUGGAGGGCUGCAGUAUGUUGUGUUAACUAGGCCUGAAAUUGCUUAUGCAGUUAACAAGUUAAGUCAGUUUAUGGCCAAUCCUCUGCAACCAGACUGGACAGCUUGUAAACGGAUACUCAGAUAUCUAAAGGAAACAAUUGACUAUGGUUUGACAUUCAAGAAAUCUAAUUCCUUUGAUCUUAUAGCCUACUCAGAUGCUGACUGGGGAAGUGAUCCUGAUGAUAGAAGAUCUACUAGUGGUUAUUGUGUAUACUUAGGUGACAAUUUGAUUAGCUGGAGUUCAAAGAAGCAAAGUGUGGUGUCAAAAUCUUCAGCUGAAUCUGAAUACAGAGCCAUGGCAUUAGCAGGUGCAUAAAUAACAUGGAUAUGUUCAUUACUGAAAGAGUUGGGUAUAAAACUUAACUGCACUCCUUUGUUACUAAGUGAUAGUACAAGUGCAGCUGCAAGUGCUACAAACCCAGUACUUCACUCUAAGACCAAACACAUAGAGAUAGAUAUUCAUUUCAUCAGAGAUAAAUUGAGAAGAAAGAAAUUGAAAUUGCUUUUGUGUCCAGCAGUGAUCAAACAGUAGAUGUGUUAACCAAACCACUCACUUACUCCAAGUUCAGUUUCUUCAUAAACAAACUUAAAGUCUCUCCUAGAUACUUAAGUUUGAGAAGGGAUGUUAAGUUUGAGAAUGAAGCUGAACCUGGAUCAGCUCAUGUGGGUGUGCCAGCUGGAGUUUACUUGAUAACCAAGGGAGACGCUCACACAAGUAAGGUGAUGCAAUCCACACGUACAGAGGAAGAAUGUUCCAGUUGGCAGAACAUUUAUACAGAGAUUCCACAUCUAUUAUGUGAUGUAGCAAAUUAGUUAUGAAUGAAUGGCUGUGAUCAAAAUAUAGCUUACACACUUUAGAGUUUGUUAAUUUGUAAAUCUAAGUUGCUGAGCUGGAUUCUAAAAUUGAACAGUUGUAUAUACCAUCAAUAUUGUACAUUGUCGAUUGAAUAAAACAGUUACAAUUCAUUACUCAAAUAUGAUCUAAAAAUCUCACAAGAUUUUCCUCCCUUCUCUUUUAAUUUCUUAAGAGCCAAACAUAGCAAAUGCCUUGUCAGUGCAGCGGGAAUCACUAAGUGAGUGGUGUAAUUGAAGCGUCUGAAAAUUUGAUUGGAGCAAAGGCGUCAUUUGAAAGAUAUUGUGGAACAUUUGUACAUAGCCAAUUAAAAAUUAUACAAAAUCGCAUAUAAAAUUACGAGAGCUUCUUUGCAUCUUAAUUUAAUCAAUCUAACAAGGAGUUAAUUAAUUAAGACUUCAUGUAUAUAACAAAGGGGAAUUACAAGUUGUAAAAAGGCCAAAAAAUAAAAAAUAAAUGUAUUGAAAAUUUUCCAUUACAAAUUCUAAAUUUUAAUAAACAUCUAAUUUAUCAACAAAGAUGUUUGUUCUUUUUAAGACUGAAUGUUGAAAUUGUUGGGGAAAAAUUAGGUUUUUAAAUUUUUAUAAAACCUUUUGAAGAUCACUCUCAUAUAAUAUAUAAGAAGUUGUAUUCUAGAAAUCGUACCUUGAAAAACCGAGUUGGCUUUUUCCGCUGAAGUGAUUUAGGCUCCUAGAUCACGAUCCGCCACCACCACUCCUGUUAGAUCACGAUCCAUCACCACCACGCUUGUUAGAUCACGAUAUGUCACCACCACGCUUGUUAGAUCACGAACUGUCUCCAAUGAUCUUCCAGGUUAUGACUCAGGUUCGAUAUGCACUUGACGUGUGGGCGCCUUUAUCACUACCAAAGCAACUAGCACGAGAAAAUUUUUCUCUCAACAAUAGAGAGAAAAAUCUUAUUCUCCGAUUUAUAUAAAGUGGCUUCUCUUCUUUCUUUAGAGAAAAAUAAGCCUUUUAUAUCACCCUUUAGUGAAAACCCUAGGCUCCAAAUAAUGCCCAAAAUAAAACUCACGUUACUUUUCAUUUAAUAGGGGACCCACCAUGUAAAAUAACAUAAGGCCCCUUACACAUAAGCUAAUUAAAUGGAGCCUCUCACUAAAUGAUAUAUUUAGGCUUUUGACCCAAAUAACUAGUUAUCUUGCUUAUUAGUCCAGUAGUGGUGCAGUCAAUUAAAUGAGCUAACCCGGGGAUCAUUUGGGAACAUACAAUAGUGGCUACAAUAAUUAGACCUGUAAUUAAACUAGCCCAAUUAUUUAAUUCCAAAUCUACUCCACUAAAAGAUUGGAACUGACUUCCAUAAUUGUAUGCUCGAAUAAUAAUUCGUCCCAAGCCACAUUGAUUUCUUUACUGCACAAUCCUUUGUACCACAUCGUUAAUUAAAUUGAUAUCUCAACUGUCCAAUCAAUUUAAUAACAUAUUAUUCCUUGAUCCUUACUAGUUUUCUCUAAUGAUCAUUUUCAACAUACUAAAUAUGUUGACACACUCUGGCCAGAGAAUUCUAUGAUCAAGUACCGAAAACUCAUCAAGAGAUGUAUUGUACAAAUUCUAUAUUGUUAAUCCAUAACUCCAAUACUCAUAAUUGCUCCCACCAAGAUACCGGGUAAUCUUGACUACAAGGAUGUGUCGUGCCCAUUGGUAACUCAAAUGGAAUAACAAUUACAAUCAUGAAAUCAUAAUUAAUUCAAGAUUAAGAUUAUAGUAAAAUCAACGCCUAUGAGAUUUAAUAAGUCUGACAGUUAUUACAAAGUUAAUUAAAUCUCAUAUGUGAUCAUGUUCAAUGUAGUCGUACUACAUCAAUAAAUUCAUACAUGAUUAAGACAAAUCAUUCAAUGAAUUGAUUACAGUCUAUAUCUAAAUAAAGUGCCCAACUUUAUUUAUCAACUGCGAACUAAAUUUAUUUAAUCAUAAGAUAACUUGUAUUUAUGUCUUCUGUGAAUCCACAUGGUGAUCACAUAAAUACAUAUAAUAUGAUUAAAUAGACUUUAAUACAAAUAUUAAUGCAAUUAAGAUAUUUGAAUAAAAUACCUCAUUUAUUUUAUUAAUCAGAAAAAUUAUUUAUUACAAUUAAAUAAACACAUAUGCUUUUAAAGAGCAUAAUUUCCCAACAGAAAUAAACAGUGUAAGAUUCAUCUCUUAUGCUUAUUAAUGGCACCAGAAGAAAUUCCUCUUUGCUCCCUUUGCAACAAAGCUGAUAGGAUGAUACUCACUCAAUCCUUUUUCUAUUUCAAAGCUUGCUGCAUUGUUAAAUCCAGCCUUUGUUGACUCCGUAUUGCAACUGAUCUUCAUGCUUUCACUUUAGAAAUUGGAAGGCAAUUUUAACACGGUAGAAUUUGUAUGACUCGAAUUUUGUUGUUAGGCGAUAAGAACAAAAGUGUGGAAUACUUAAUGCAGAAAGUUUUCCAGGAGUUUCUACUCCUUUACCAUGAAAGUAUUUUAAUUUUAACUUGGGAAAUUCCUAACACUUUUGCCCUCGUAUGAUCGCUUGAAAACUGUAUAUACCUCUCAAGUUCAUGUGCUGUAUCCUUCCCUUCUCCUCCAACUCUCCUACACAUAUAGAGGUUCUCAAAGACAGAAGAGUAUGCUACUGAAGUACCCAACUGCUGUGGAGACUCAACUUCUUCUAAACUCCAUCCCUAUUUGGCAUUUUUGUACUUUGUUAGAACCAGAGUUGAAAGAAGACGAUAGGAUCGCCUAUGAGGGAAGCGCUUAGAAGGAGUUGGGUUCUCUCCCCCAAAAAUCUUAUCAUGGUACUAACUGGGUAACUUUUGCAAUCAAGCAGGUCUAUAAGAUGCUUUGUGCAACAGAUAGCAGACAAGUCUGUGGAGUCUUAACUGCAAGGGCAAAGCUAUUCUGAUUAUACUUUAGUCAAUUUAUGUUGUUAAUUUUCCAUAAGUUCAACUCCUUUUGGAGCUGUUAUGGCACAGGUUGGGGAUUCAUUGCGUAGAUUCAAUUUUUCCUUUCUAUAGGUUGAACAUCACUCGACAUUUUUUUAAUCUCAUGAUUUGUUUUUCUCAUUUUUAUGUGGUUAUGACCAAGAACUUGGUAUGCCACAAGCCACUAGGCAUUUCUCGCCAGAUUUUUUUCUUGUAUCCUUUGAUGUUAGAUAAAUCUCUUCCAUUGCUCCGGCCAAGAGAUACUUCUCUUCCUGUGACCGUGUGGGAAUUAAAUCACUCUUGAAGUUAUGAGAUUCCAUAUACUUCAAAGAGAAAGGAAACAUUCUUUGUCUUUACAUCAUCCUGUAUAUAUCCAGCUCACCUGACUGGAAAUCUGGACAUAUUGUGUUGAAUCAAAAAGUCUCUUGGUAUCCUUCCCUUGGAAUGACCUUGAAAUUAUCUUCAAAGCAGGUAAUAUUCGCAUUCAUUUAACAUAUAUAUGUGGAAAAAAUAUUACUCCUGAAUUUAAUCUCCAAUAUCUUAUAUUUGACAAAUACGAUCUGAAUUGUCUGAUGGCUUUGGGUACCAAAGAGAUGUCAAACAAAUUUGAAAGACUGUCCAGAUAGGAAAUUGAUAAGAAGGGAGUACAAAUUGACGUGAGGGGUCCUGGGGAUGUGUACCUUGUUUGACACUUAGACUAAGGACAGAGGCUAUUCAGGGUAUAGUGACCCUUUUCGUAGCUUUAUCAUUUUAAAAUAUGCUUGGUCACAGUUUUAUUUUAUUCUUUCACUUUUGUUCUCUAGUACAUGAUCUUCGAUUGACAAAGCUUUCAUGUCCAGAUGACUGGCCUGAAUAUGCGUCUAUCCAUGCGGUACUUAUGGCCCUUAUCUACUAGCCAGUCAUACCAGUGGGGACUGGGACGUCAAGACUGGGUCAGCUCGAUCUCUUUGAGCAUUGAUUAUUCCAAUUCCUGCAUCAGCCCAAGAGCCUGAAAACUCGGCUUUUUUCAUGUCAAACUCAAACCAAUCAAUCACAACGGAAGAAUCCCCGGUAUCUGCCAUUAGAGCUGGCAAACCCCGGGCCGGGUCUGGGUAUCGCAAUGACUGGACCCGACCCGGAUGCAAUAUAUGCCCGGACCGGAUUGUGCCAUGCUUUAAUUUGGGUAAUUAGAUUUUAUAUUUUUUAAUAUUAUAUGUGUAUUUUUUUAUUUUUUGAUAAUUUUAUAAUUUUAAAUUUAUUUUAAUAAAAUUUGAUAUGAAAAUAUGAACUUUAAAUGUUUAAAAUUAUAUAUAUAUAUAAUAAAUGAGUCAAAUAAAUAUAAAUAUUUAAAAUAAUAUAUAUUUUAUAAUAUUUUUUAAUAAAAUUUGAGUUCCGAAUUCAUCAAGUGGUGUCUAAGACCGGCCCAACCCAAAACGCCCGGAUGCGGUCAGGAUCCGGACCGGGCGGAUAUUUUUGCCACCCCUAUCUGCCAUAGACGCUGCUCUUAAUGCUACCUUCAGACAGGAUGCAUCUUUGUCCAAUUUUUCAUCACUCAACAAUGUCAUGGGAAAAUCAGUCAUGCCAGAACCAUUUGAUUUUCCAGGAAUGCUUGUGCAGCAAGGUAAAGGAGAGCAAUUUCUUGUCUCGGAUUCUCCGAAGGAAGGGGUGAAGGGGUCUAUUCUGCGUUUUGUUUGGUUGCUGGGUUGGAUAAAAGGAAUGAAACUUUAUCCUUGGAGGCUGAGAACCGAAUGGGUAUCUUUUGUGUCUAGUGAUGCGAACUUCAAGCUGGGUGCAAGCCUGAAGCUACUCUGCAGUACAGAGUCACUGGCCGCUGGAUUUAAUCAGGCAUCCAGUUUCAUGAUGGAAAUAGGAAUUAGCGAGUCUUAUCUGAUCAGCUUUGUGGCAAAAAGAUCAAGGAGGAAUUUUCUUCUGGCACCACUAUUAAGCUUUAGGGAUGAAGCUUAUACAGUUUAUUUCAAUUUUUAGGAUUAGAUAGUAAUCUUGUUGUACGCAGAUAGGUAUUCUUAGACUUAGUUUACCCGUUAAAGCUAGACUAGAAAAUGUAGGAAAACAAUCAAAAAUGGUAUCAAGAAGAAAUAGGGUGUGACAGAAUCCUAGAGCUUGCCAUCACAUUUGCUGUAAUUUACUUUAAUCUUGGGUUAUAACAUAUCCUUGGCAUUAUUCUGUUCUGGUUGGCUUUAUUAAUGACUUGCUGCAAGUAAUCUAUGAGGCAAUUUAGCUGCGGUUUUUUUGUUUCACUUUGAAUGCUGAUUUUUAACAUUUGAACCUUGAUUGAUUUAUUUUGUGGGAGUAUGUAGUAGUAAGUGCAUAUUUUCUCGGGAAAUAUCCAUUAUAUUGCCAUGUUUCCACUGCAUAUACAGUCCUGUUGCAGGAAAUUUUCCAACGAGUCUGGAAACAACUUUUUUCUUAACAAACUCAAAUCCAUCUGUCAAAAUCGAAUAAUCUCCAAAAUCAGGCACUGAUGAUGCUCUUCAAGCUACUUUCAAACUCCAGAUAACGAUCAAUCUUCCAUUGAAUUUUCAUCACUGAAACAUAGACUUCUCCAGGAAUAUGCUUGUAUUGCAAGGAGCAGAUCACGAACUUGUUUUCACAGAUUCUUCUAGUGCUCAAUGCUCCUCCGUUUUUCGCCUUGUUGCCGGAUUACAUGGAAGGGCUGAAACAAUACCCUUGAAGCCAUUAAGCCAAAAGAUUUGCUUAAUUUCUAUAUAUGUUUUGUAUCCCAAAUGGCAUGCAAAGUCACUAAUCACUCAAUACCAUGUGUUCAGUAAUUGUUCACUUUGGAAUAAAGAUUGAAUGACCGUCAAGUCCUAACUUUGUGAACUUGUUAUUACUCUUUUAGUUUUUCACAGUGUUAAAGCAAAUCCAAUCUAAAUUGGAUUCAGUUGAAAGAUUGUUUAAUAACUAAUCUAUGACCCUUAACCUACAACAGACACAAGGAAACAAGAUUCAACUACAAAACAAUAUUAGUAACCAAGAACAGAGCUUCUUGCUGUCCUUUGACUACAGAAAAUAAGAUAGGAAUGCAAAGGGCGUUUCAAGCUUUACAACGAUACUAAGCUUGCUGCAUAACAACCGCUUCACAAAAUACAAAAAGUCAACUGCUGGUCAACCAAAUCAGUUAGCCGUGUCAGCGACAGCCUUUCCCGCCAAAAAAUACAAAGCUCUGCGUUACUAAAAAUUUUUGAGUUAUUACGCGUGUACCCAAUAAGCUUAGAAAGCUUGCAAACAUACCCUUAUUAACAAGGCUUGGCCCAAAAGCACAAGCCGGCCCGGCCCAGGUUUGGCAAGCUGAGGCACGGCAGGCAUAGGGGCCUGGACAUAUGGAAAAAAAUAUUAGGCCCUCUGCAAAAGCACCUCCGAAAGGACUUAAGAAAAAAAAAGCUCCAACUAGGCCUAGUCCUCUAUUUAUUUUAAAAUAAUUGAAUUUAAAUUUAUAAAUUAAAAAAGAAAUCAAUUUCCAAUCAUUUCAUAUUCCUCUAUCAAGUUUAAUUAUUCAAAGAUCAAUCAAUUUAAAACCUUUAGGCUUUAGAUAGCUUUAAUUUUUUUUUUUUUUGAUUAUAGGAAGUAGAAUUAAAUAAUUAAGAAUAUGCUUGUAUUAGAAUUUAGUACUAACAAAUUAAAUCUGUAAGUUUUUAUUUUCUUUAUUUGUUAUUUUAUUUUGAGCCCAUUAUUUUUAAUUUAUUGUUAAUUAUAAUAAUUUAUUGAUUAUUACCCGAUUAUAAAUUUAAAAUAAUUAUAAAAAUUAUUUAAAUAGUAUGUUGACACCCCAGGGCCAUCCCUCCAAAAUUGAAUGAACUUUUAGAAAACUUAAACCUAUUUUCCCUAGCAUAGGCUUGGUCUAGGCUUGAAAAAGCCCAACCCAGCCUAUUAUUAACAAAUUUUGAAACAUAUUCAACAAACCCAUGUAACCUUUUUCUGCCGAUGUUAGUGGUGUGUUGUGUUUUUCUCCAUUCAUUUAAUAAAUUUCGGAUAAAUAGUGGCUGGCUCCAGCCUCUACGGCAUAUAUUGAAGCUCGAAGCUCGACCAGGACCAAUCAAGCCUAAUUCGUCGCCAAACAAGUUACUGUCACUUGAUAUAACAACGACCAAACUAUGUGCCUACAUUAUUCAUUCUACCCCAUAUUGCUUUAAUGCCUUACUUGAAAGGGUUUCCUUUUCUUUACUUCAGUUUUCUUAUUUAAUUUAUUCAUUUUGAUCUAGCAUGAUUUAUUUUUAAAAUUGAAUAUUUUCCAUGUAGUUACUUUUGUUUCCAUUUUAAAAAAAGGUAUCGUUUUUUCCCCCCAUUUAUACUUGACCCAAUCUUCGUUAUUCGGAGAAAGAAACUCAAAGAUAAAUAAAAUCCACAUUGUUGCCGAUUAUAUUUGACUAAAAUGCAUUUGUUAUUAAUUUUUUAGAAAACCAAUGAUCUCUAAAUUUCUUUCUACGAACAAUAAGUACUCACCUUAAAAAUACCCUUCCAAGAAGCAUAAAUAAAAUUCUAUGACUAUGACUCUGGCGCACUAAGUAUAUCUUUAACAAAAAGAUCAUCAAAAUUAUAAGACAGGGUAUGAUGAGAAAGAGAAAGAAAGUUAGGAAUCGGAAAUGCACCAUUAAUUGAAAAGCAAAUCAAUAUUAUAACGUAUUUUUUUAUCUUAAGAUUAAAAUGAGAUGGAAAAGAAUGAAAAUCAAUACAUUAUUUACUUUAACUUCACGAAAUUGAAAAUUAAGUUUUUUAAUAGAAAACUCCUCAUCACAAACACCGGAUCCACCGACCUUUAUUUAUCUUUGAUUUUCCAGUAGAGUCUAUAUUAACGAGAGGCAACUAGAACAAAUUAAACGACAUGAUCACUGACGAUCACCAUUCAUGAUCGUUAAUUUUACAUGAUUGUGCAUGGCGCUGCUGGAUUUGCUUCACAGAUGUAAUCUGAACAGCGACCUCUGUAAUAAACUCUGUUAUCGCAGCCACCACCCCAACUCUCAUACACUGGCCUUCCAUAGCACCAAUCAUACUGCCUCUCUCGCCCGUAGCCAAGCUGGUAACACGGUCCCCCACCACGCCCCUCAGAACAUUCCGUGCAACAUGCCCUAACAGGUGAGUAACACGGUCCACCACCACGCCCCUCGGAACAUUCCCUGCAACAUGCCCUAACAGGUGAGUAACACGGUCCCCCACCACGCCCCUCGGAACAUUCCCUGCAACAUGUCCUAAUUGGUGAGUAACACGGUCCCCCACCACGCCCCUCGGAACAUUCCCUGCAACAUGUCCUAACGGGUAGGUAACACGGAACGGGCUCCGGAGCCGGUGCCGGUGCCGGAGGCGGCGGUGGGGCUGGUGAUGGUUUUGGUUGGGGAGCCGGUGCCGGGGGUGGUGGCGAUGGUGAAGGUUUCGGUGGUGGUGGUGACGGUUUUGGUUCCGGAGCCGGUGCCGGCGGUGGUUUUGGUUUUGGCGGCGGCGGCGGCUUUGGCUUUGGUGGUUCCAGGAUUUCAAUAGUCUUGAUUGAACCAUCACCUUUGCAGCAUAGCUUGUCCCUGAUCUUUUCAGGACUGCAGCACACUACUUUUAUUGUCACCGUAUUCGUCUUCUCAUCGAAAAACUGUUCUUGUAUUUCUUUGGUCAAAAAGUUCAAACACAAUAUCUUAGCCCACCAUCCGCCAGCCAUUUUUUUAUUUGCAAACACAAAAUAAACAAUUCUACUUGCGCCUCACCAAAUGACACGCGAAUUCAGAAUUUUAUGCCAUUAUAAAACAUUUUACGAAACCAUAAUAUAUAAUAUAUGUAAAUGGACAUGGCCAGCGAUCAGAGAGACACUUACGUGGGAAUUUGCACAGUACUUUCUUGACUUUCUUGUAGCACUUUGAGCACUGAAGGUUAACCUUCAGCACCAUUAUUGUAACCUUCUGUAAACAAUAGUACACAGAUAAUACAAAAGUAUUUUUCAGCAGGCUAAUUAAUUAAAGAUAAAAGAGAGACAUUUAAUUAAUUUCUGACAUGAAAGAAUCAGCAAGGUAACUAUAUAUCUCCGUGUAUAUAUACACUAUAAGCUAUCAUCACGAAAGAUCGAUCGAUGCACAGCACAAACUUAACCAAAAGGGGAAUUACGAACCUUCUCUCCCAUAGCUGCUCGGAUCUGAACCUCAGGAAACCGGACACUGAUUAUUUGAAGCGUUAAUGUGACAGCAGGUAUGGAAAAGGGUCUUAUAAAUAAGUGCGCCAAUUUGAAACUUGUUUAAGAAGGGAAGGAAAAGUAAGGGCUUGAAUUCCGUACAUUAUACAUAACCAAUUAUCUGCCGACACGUCUUAUUGGAUGACGUCGAAUUUCAUGAUAUCAUCAAGGUUGUCGUUAUCUCCGUACAUAGUAAGUCUUUCUUCACAUUUAUGUAUGAUUGCUGACUCACCCAUUCUCCAUUGCAUUUGCAUGUGCUGCCUUUUGAUUGAUUGCCCUUUUCUCUGUUUUUCUUUUUUUUUUUUUGCUUUGCUUUUUUUUUUUCUUUUAUGUCUAAAGGAAAAUUUUUUGUCUUUCUCAUUUGAGCAAUAGUCAUAUUUCUUUACCUAAUUGAAAAUUAAAAAUAAAAAUAAAUAAGGGAAAAUGGACUUUAAUUGAACAACUGAUGUGAGAUCUAGGUAUAGAAAUUUACAUUCACCAACUCUUCCUAACCGUCAAAUUUGAUGCAUUUUUCGAACCCAGCACCUUGUGCCAUGGAUCGAGCAUUCAUUCUACAAACAGAGUAAUUGAUGAAAUAAUUUAAUCGAGCUAUUGGAAGUUUCACCAACCUAAAGUAAUCAUUGUCCUUAACCCAUAAACAAAGGGCCCAAUGAUCAAUUAAUAUAAGCUUUUGGAAGUUCAACCAAUCCCCGUAAGUAUACCUCCAACACUAAGGUAGCUAUUAUGGGCUUGUGGGACCCGCAUACUUAAUGCCUAAGUUAAGUGUCACAUCACUAAUUUAAUUUUAGAUUGGCCACACUCCAAGUAAUUAAAAAAGAUAAUGUUAUUAGUUUACCAGAAGCAGUUGUGACGCCUUGGCACCCACCUCCGCUUGGCCAUUUUAAAUUAAAUGUUGAUGCAGUCAUGGGGGAUGGUGGUGUGGGGGCCGUCGAUGGGUUAUCGGUUGCAAUUGAGGCAGGACUGACAUUGUUCAGAGAUUAUUUAAUUUUUAGCUUCGUGGUUUAUGUUGUCCAACGCUAUCUCACCAUUGUUAUUUAAGAUUAUUUUCUGAAACAUUAUCUCACCCAUAUUAUUGUUCAAAAAGAAAUUAAAGUAAAAAGCAGAUGGCCAAUUUAUCUCUUGUAUCAAUUCUUCUAUUCCUCUUCUUCAUUUAUGGUAAAAAUAACCAUUUUUCUUAAGUGUUUUAUGUAGCAUUUUUGUACUUAAUUUAUGCAAUGCUAUAAAAGAUCAAAUUUGAAUUUUAAAGAAUUAUUAUUAUUAUUAUUAUUAUUAUUAUUAUUAUUAUUAUUAUUUAUCAGGAACUGGGAAGAUAAUUGCCGAGACUCAGGAGAUAGAGCUCUGCAAGACAGCUAUUAUGUCCCAAAAAGAAUUUUGCUUUUGAAGCAUCACUUUCCCAAAAAGAAAUUCCAAAAAUUAUGUCUAAUUAAAAUCUUUUAGAAUCUCCCCAAGGUUUGAUUGCAUGGUUUUUAAACAGUUAUAAGCAGUUUUCAAGAAAUUGUUUUUUAUUAGUACUGAUUUGAACCUUAAGGAAGUUUGAGUUAAAAAAAUUGAUUUGGACUUAAUGGACUCCCUUAUCUUUAAAAGAAAAUGUAUCCUGCAGAAUUCGAAAGAAAUAAUUAAAAAAAAAUAAAACAAUGGAAUAAUUCAGAAAGAGAAAAUAAGAAGCACAUGUAAAAAGUAUUUUUCUAAUGAAUUUAUUUCAAUUUUUUGAUUUUAUAAAUAAAAACUCAAGGGUGAAAAAUUUUAAUGAGUAACGGUCGUUAAUGAAAAAUUUUAAUGAGUAAGGGUUGUUAUAUAUUUAACGAUGAAAUUAAAAGAAAAUAGUGUAAAUGAAAAAAAAAAAUAACAGAAGCGAUGAGAGUGAUUCUGAGAAGAGUUAGAGAUUAUUGUGGGUUGUCUAUGGUAUAGAGUAGGAAGAUUAAGUUAAAUAAAUUAGUUUGAUUUAUCUAAAUAAAUUAUUUCAUUAUAAAAUAGAAUUUACUCAUUGGUAAAGUACUGUAUAGAUGUUUUGGUUUUAUAUAAAUUUAUUAGAAGAGAUGAAUAUAAGGAGUAUUUUUAUCGAAUUCAAAAAGCUCAUAACUUUUCACUUGUAAUCAAUUUUUCUACCAUAAAUUUUUGUAUGAUUUUGGUCCCUAUGGGUAGAAGAAUUUAAAGGGGGCCAAAAUCAUAGAGGUAAACGUUUAGGGGUCAAAGUCUAAAAAGAGUAAAUUAUUUUGGUAAAAUGUCAAGAUAAAUUAAAGUUUCAGAGCCACCUCCCGCCUUUUUUUCAUUUAGCAAAAUAAUACUUUCAUGUAUUAUGCCGAGGUAGAUGUGAUGGACCUUUUUAAUAUUUAAAUUUUAUGAUAAAUAAUGAUGUGUCAUUUAUAAGAGAAAUUUUAUAAUAUAUUAGAGGUAGUACAUCAACUAAUACAUGUAUGACAUGUAUAUAUAGACUUGAUAUAACCUUUAUUUGCAUAAUAAUUUUUUAAAAUAAAUGUACAUAUAUUAUAAUAUAACUUGUUUAUUGUAUACCUGAUAUGAUACAUCUGAUUUAUUUUAGAAUUUUUCAUGUGAUUAAAAUUUUUUAUAAAGUUCUAAAUAAAUUAUUUUAUACCUGACAUUACUAUUGAAGAAUAUAUUGACAGAUAUUGUGGAAUAUUUAUAUGUAACUUAUUAGAAUUUAUACAAAAAUUGCAUAUAAAAUUACGAGAGCUUCUGUUCACUUUAAAUUAAUCAAUCUAACAAGAAUUUAAUUAAGGCUUCAUGCAUAUAACAAAGGCGAAGUGUAAGUUGUAAAAAGGCCAAAAAAAAAAUGUAUUGACAAUUUUCCAUUCUAGAUUCUAAAUUUCAAUAAACAUCUAAUUUAUCAACAAGCAUGUUCGUUCUUUUUAUGAUUGAAUGUUGAAAUAAACAGUGUAAGAUCCAUCUCUUAUGCUUGGUAAUGGCACCAAAAGAAAACUCCUCUUUGCUCCCUUUGCAACAAAGCGGAUAGGAUGAUAAUUCUUUUUCCAUUGCGAAGCAAACUACACUGUUAUAUCCAAACUCUGUUGACACUGAAUUGCAACUGACCUUCAUGCUUUCGCCCGAUUUCAAGUUAACACUAGUAGAAACGAAGCAACCCUUUUGGGUUACUGACUCCAAGGCUACUGUUUCAGCCUUUCCAUCCCAUCCGGUAACAAGGCGAAAAAUGGAGGAGCCAUGAACACUAGAAGAGUCUGCGACAACAAGUUCAUCAUCUGUUCCUUGCACUACAAGCAUUCCUGGGGAAGCAAAUAGUUCUAGCAUGACUGAUCUGCCAAUUGCAUCGCUGAGGGAUGAAAAUUCGGAGGAAGGUUUAUCGUUUAAGAUGAAUCUUAAAGUGGCUUGAAGGGCAAUGUCAGUGCCAGAUUUAGGGGAUUCUGCCAUUGGAAUAGAUUGUCAAGACAAAAGUCGAGUUUCUGGAAACUUUGGAAAAUGUGACCAGCUGAAAUUAUAUGAUGCAGGAAUUGGAGCAACAACUUCUGAAAGAGAUGUUGCUGAUUCAGUCCUGAUAUCGGAGUCCCCAUUGCUGUAGCUCGUAGGCAGAUAAGACCGUGGUGAAUGGCCGAUCAGCUGAAGAAGAAAAAAGAUUUUCAGUCAAAGAUUUUUCAUUGAUAACAGAAAUUGUAAACAAAACAGUUCAUGAAGAUUCCAUCGAUAGGCUCUGUCCUUAGAAUAAGGGGCAGCUGAAUGGUUAAUUUGUCAUCAUAUGUCCAUGCUGUGGUGAUACUUGGAAAUUUCGUGCAUCGGGAAUGUAACUGUUUGUUACAUGUCUUUAUAAAAGAUGAAACCCCACUUUUAAUUUUUCUAUCUGAAAUAAAAAAUUGAAAAACAAUCAAAGAUAUUAUAAUUCAGCACCUGCCGAUGGUAGAGGCAAAUCCUGGCCAUUUAAUGUUGCCUUUGCUCCAUUAGUAUUUGUCCACCUCGAUAUUCUGAAACCAAAGGAUAGUGAUCGAGCUGCUCCCUGGAUAUACAUCAAAUCCAGAAUGUGUGAUGGAUGAACUUCUCAUUACAAUGUUAAAAAAUAAACACCAAGUUUGAUAGCCAGUACCUUAGGAAGAAAUGUGAAUGUGAUAUGACGAUAAGGAUCUGAAGAAACAACAGGAUCAACUUUCUGGUUGGGCAGAAUAUGUCCAGAUUUCCAAUCAAGUGAGCUCGAUAUGUACCGAAUGAUGUAAAGACCAGGAUAUAAUCCUUCCUCUUCAAAGUAAAUUGAAUAUCCCAACUUUGCGAAUGACUUAAUUCCUCCAUGGGAAACAAGAAUAAAAUCUAGUAUACCAAUUGGCGGAAACUGUGCAAAUUUAGAAAGCAACUCAUGAGAUUCAAGAACAUUGAGAGUAAAGAGAAAAAAUGGGCAAUGAAUACCAGACAUGUGCCAUAACAGCACCAGAAUGAAUUUAAUUAAUGCGUAAACAAAUUUUAUUCAACUUUAUUUCUAAUCCAGUCAUUAACAUUCUUAUAGCAAUUUAACUCUAAGAUUUACCUAACACAUACGACUACUUUUAAAACUCACGACACUUUUUAAAAUAAAUUUUACUAAAUGUUUAAUUGAUUCUCUUUACAGUUGAAUAUAUUUAUAAUACAGCUAACAAUAAUUAUUUUAAAAAAUACAUCAUUACCAAAUAGGCCGCCAAUAAUUGGAAAACUAAUUGUAGCAUUAACAAACUCUACAUUCACCAACCUUUAUUUAUCUUUGAUUUUCCUAUAGAGUCUAUAUUACCCAAAAUGUUAAAGAUUAAACCAGCAUACAAGAAGCAACUAGAAGAAAGUAAACGAUAUGAUCACUGACGAUUACCAUUCAUGAUCAUUGAUUUAUGAGAUUGUGCAAGACAGUGGUGGAUUUCCUUCACAGGUGGAAUCUAACGACCACGGGUGCAAAUGAACAGCGACCACAAGUGCAAUAUGAACAGCGACCACAAGUGCAAUCUGACCAGCGACCUCUCCAAUAAACUCUAUUAUGGCAGCUACCACCCCAGCUCUCAUACACUAGUCUUGCAUAGAUCACAAUGCCUCUCUUGCCCCAAGCCAAGCUGGUGACACGGUCCCCAACCAUGACCCUCAGAACAUUGCUUGCAACAUACCCUAACCGAUGUGUAACACGGCACUGGCACCAGGGGUGGUAGUGGUGGUUUUGGGUUUUCCCCAUCCGGUUGUGGCGGGUUUUUUUUUAUCCCCAUCCGGUUGUGGUGGUUUUUUGUUAUCCCCAUUCGGUUGUGGCGGGUUUUUUUUAUCCCCAUCCGGUUGUGGCGGUUUUUUGUUAUCCCCAUCCAGUUGUGGUGGUCUAGGGUUAGGCUUUUUAUCAGGUUCCAGGAUUUCAAUAGUCUUGAUUGAACCAUCACCUUUGCAGCAUAGCUUGUCCCUGGUCUUUCAGGACUGCAGCACACUACUUUUAUUGUCACCGUAUUUGUCUUCUCAUCGAAAAACUUUUCUUGUAUUUCUUUGGUCAAAAAGUUCAAACACAAUAUCUUAGCCCACCAUCCGUCAGCCAUUUUUAUUAUUUACAGACACAAAAUAAACAAUUCUACUUGCGCCUCACCAAAUAACACGCGAAUUCAGAAUUUUAUGUCAUUAUAAAACAUUUUACGAAACCAUAAUAUAUAAUAUAUGUAAAUGGACAUGGCCAGCGAUCAGAGAGACACUUACGUGGGAAUUUGCACAGUACUUUCUUGACUUUCUUGUAGCACUUUGAGCACUGAAGGUUAACCUUCAGCACCAUUAUUG